rnacentral:rRNA from 1 species
GUGCAGCAGUCGCGCAACCUCUGCAAUACGCGAAAGCGUGCCAGGGCUACCCCGCGUUCCGUCCGCUGAGGUUGGCUUUUCUCCGAUGUAGUAAGCCGGAGGAAUAAGGAGAGGGCAAGUCUGGUGUCAGCCGCCGCGGUAAUACCAGCUCUCCGAGUGGUAGUGACGAUUAUUGGGCCUAAAGCGUCCGUAGCCGGCCAAGCAAGUUUCCCGUUAAAUCCAGCGAUCCAAUCGUUGGACUGCGGGAAAUACGGUGUGGCUAGGUGGCGAGAGAGGCCAACGGUAUUCCCGGGGUAGGGGUGAAAUCCCAUAAUCCCGGGAGGACCACCAGUGGCGAAGGCUGUUGGCUAGAACGCGCUCGACGGUGAGGGACGAAAGCUGGGGGAGCGAACCGGAUUAGAUACCCGCGUAGUCC